rnacentral:SRP_RNA from 1 species
GCCAGGCGUGGUGGUGCACGCCUGUAAUCCCAGCUACUCGGGAGGCUAAGGCAGGAGAAUUGCUUGAGCCUGGGAGGUGGAGGUUGCAGUGAGCUGAGAUAACACCACUGCACUCCAGUCUGGGUGACAGUGAGACCUUGUCUUUAAAAUAUAUAUAAAGUAAAAAGUAAAUAAUCCUAAAUUUCUCUAAGGUUUUGUUCUUUUUUUUUUUCUUUUUUCUUUUUUUUGUGAGAUGGAGUCUCGUUCUGUCGCCUAGGCUGGAGUGCAGUGGUGUGAUCUCGGCUCACUGCAACCUCUGUCUCCCAGGUUCAAGCAAUUCUCCUGCCUC